UCCCCGCCCCCCAAAUAAAAGGUGGGAUAAUUCCCCCCUUUUUUAUUUUGACGAAGAGCCAAAAUCACCCCCAAAUUCUCUGAAAGUUCGCCGCUUCGUCGAAGCUCACCGACGCCAUCGUCGAAGCUCACCGACGCCAUCAUCGGAGAUCUCCGCCUCCGUCGGAUCUCGCCGCCGCUUCCUCCUCCUCCUCCUGCCAAAAUCGCGGGUGGUGGCGACGCGCUCGAGGAGGAGGCCAAGGUCUUUACGAGGUUGAAGAGAUCAGAGUGAUGGAACUGGGAAUAAAGUUGGGAGGAGGAAUUGGAAAACCCCGGAUAAGAACCCAAUUGAAUUGAUGAAGCAGAAGGAAGAAGAGGAGGUUGAGGGAGAGGGAGAAGUGAAGGAUUUUGAUGAUAAAGAGAUUGAUUUGCCCAAACCCAAGAUUUUUGAAGUUGUAGAGAAGAAGCUUAAUCAGAUUAUUGAGCCACAAUCAAUUGAAGUUCAAGAAGAGAAGAAGAUACAUCCAGUGAUGGAUCUCAAUGAAGCUAAGCCUGAUCCUAUGAAGUCAUAACCAAGUGAACUUUUUUUUGGUUGAGGUUGAAGAUGAGACGGUUGAUAAUGGCAAUUGUGAAGUUUGAGUGUGGUUGCAUACACGUGAUUUAUGGUGGAUCAAUUAGCAAUUAGCCCUAAGUUGCAUCGACACAUCUAUAUGCGAAGCCACAUCUGUGCGGUGCAUGUACAGUUGUCCCUGGACGUCAUGCCCGGAUUUCAUAGUUCUGGAAGCACUAUUCACCAUUGAAAGGUUUAUCAGUGUUUAGUCAGAGUUAUGAGUUGUUUCACUUGCAUAUUCAAGGGGAAACAACCCCCAGGUCGCCAAACUGUUCAAACUGAUGAAGAUUUUUCAAGCAUCGAGAAUGUGAAGAUAUACUCUUAUAAAGAAUUGAGAAAAGCCACAAUGGAUUUUAGCCCUGGCAAUAAAGUUGGCGAAGGAGGUUUUGGAUCUGUUUACAAUGGAACACUUAAAGAUGGAACCGUCGUUGCUGUGAAGGUCCUCUCUCAUGAGUCAAGACAAGGAAAACGAAAAUUCUUGACUGAGCUUAAUGUAGUUUCAGAUAUAACCCACGAAAAUCUUGUUAGACUGUAUGGUUGCUGUGUGGAAGGUGAUCAUAGGAUACUAGUUUACAAUUAUCUAGAGAACAAUAGCCUUGCACAAACCCGUCUUGGUAGCAAUUAUCAUUGCUGAUUGCUGCUGAGGAAGACCACAAAUUAUCUGUAAUGCAGCUACAACGAACUGCUCUGGUAACACAGGAUUGUUGUUCGUCGAUCGAUCUACCACAAUGCAAACGCUGAAAGAUGCUAAAAUUUCUGGUCACGCGCAAAUUAGUUUUCUCUCGGCAGGCUGUGGAAAGUGUCAUGGAUUCCUUCAAGUGAGAAUGAUGCAAUUUCGGAGACGAGGCUUAUUGAAGACUAUCCGCUAUAGAGGCCCCUGUAAGAGAUUCAUUAUUCUUGGUAAUCAUAGAAUGAAUGUUAUUCAUUAUCUUGCAAUAAUGUGUGCUGAUAGUUUCUGGUGAAAAACUUGCUCUAUUUCUUCUGGUGUUCAAUCUCGUAGUUCCGAAUAUACAAUGGGUGUUUGCCUCUUCCUCCGGUUUCGUCGCCAUCUUCCAUCGCGGCAUCUAGAUCUUAUAACUACACAAUAAAAGUUGGAGAUGGAUGAUGAAGAUGGGAAGAAGAAGCCAGAGACGCGACGAAGGAAAGGCUUGCAACGUUGAUAAGACAUGGGUUCUCUGUAGUCUUUAUUGUUCAAGUCUACUUAAUCAUGAUUGUUGGAUUUGUUAAUAAAACAUGUGUCAAACACUUGUUAUUUGUUUAAUAGAAUUGUGUUUAAAUUUAUUUACUAAUGUUAUUAUUUGUUUCAUUUUAA